rnacentral:rRNA from 1 species
UACGUAGGGGGGCUAGCGUUGCUCGGAAUCACUGGGCGUAAAGCGCACGUAGGCGGGUUCUUUAAGUCAGGGGGUGAAAUCCUGGAGCUCAACUCCAGAACUGCCUUUGAUACUGGGAAUCUCGAGUCCGGGAGAGGUGAGUGGAACUGCGAGUGUAGAGGUGAAAUUCGUAGAUAUUCGCAAGAACACCAGUGGCGAAGGCGGCUCACUGGCCCGGUACUGACGCUGAGGUGCGAAAGCGUGGGGAGCAAACAGG